GACAGCACGUUACACACACACACACACACACACACACACACACACACACACACACACACACACACACACACACACACACUCUCACUCACUCACUCACUCACUCAUUCCUUGACUGCGAGGCACCAGAGCUGUCUGCUGGGAGCUCAGGUUACUGCCAACCGGCGGGACAGACUUUAUGGAAGCCUGUCUCCCACACCCACUCGACCCGUCCACAAGGCUCCGGAGGAGGUAUCGGGUUGCCAGUUCAGCGCCGGACAGGCUUUACACUGGCGGCAGCUUGUGAUCUUGGGUGGCUGUGUGUGUGUGCGUUUCAUCUCCCACACUUUGAGGGUAGAGGCGGCACACAAAGCUGCCGUCUCCUCCAGGUCAAAAGACAUCUUUGCCUUCCAUGCUUCCCGGACUGCCUCUUCGAUCCUCGACCCCCGCUUUGACAAGGACCUCCUACACCUCACCAUUCGCUUUGACAAUCUGCCUGCCCCCACGAACUGCCUUCAUGUCUUGUCCCUCCUCUCGAUCCAACACUAGUCUACAGAUAUCUCUUAUCCAAGAUGGCGGCCAGGAGGCGGAGCAUGCAGCGGAGUGGAGAGGCGGGGCACGCUUGGAGCGACACUGCAGCCAUCAAAGUCAGGUGCGUAAACGACACACCUGCUCUCAAUCCUUGCAUCUUCUGCUGCAGCAUAAAAGGGGAGAAGGAGGAGCAAUCGUGGCAGAAGUAGGAGAGGAAACGAUGGACAACAAAGACGACGAAGACGACGGGAACGACCCAGAGGAAGAUAAACCCCCGCGGAAGACGCAGCCACCGGUCACCGAAAGGCGCGCCGAGACGAGCAGGAAAGGAGGUCGGGCUAGAGAUUGGCACGGCCGACUGGAACCAAAACAUGUUUAUUUAAACAAUAAACAAUAGUCAAACCUG